rnacentral:rRNA from 1 species
GACGAACGCUGGCGGCGUGCUUAACACAUGCCAGUCGAACGGAAAGGCCCUGCUUGCAGGGUGCUCGAGUGGCGAACGGAUGAGUAACACGUGGGUGAUCUGCCCCUUACUUUGGGAUAAGCCUGGGAAACUGGGUCUAAUACUGGAUAGGACCAUGCUGUAGGUGGUGUGGUGGAAAGAUUAGUUUCGGUAAGGGAUGAGCUCGCGGCCUAUCAGCUUGUUGGUGGGGUAAUGGCCUACCAAGGCGUCGACGGGUAGCCGGCCUGAGAGGGUGGACGGCCACAUUGGGACUGAGAUACGGCCCAGACUCCUACGGGAGGCAGCAGUGGGGAAUAUUGCACAAUGGGCGCAAGCCUGAUGCAGCGACGCCGCGUGGGGGAUGACGGCCUUCGGGUUGUAAACUCCUUUCAGCCAUGACGAAGCCCUUGUGGUGACGGUAGUGGUAGAAGAAGCACCGGCUAACUACGUG